UACGAAGGGUGCAAGCGUUGUUCGGAUUUAUUGGGCGUAAAGCGCGCGCAGGCGGGUAAUUAAGUCAGGUGUGAAAUCUCAGGGCUCAACCCUGAAACUGCGCCUGAAACUGGUUAUCUAGAAUGUCGGAGAGGGAAGGGGAAUUUCGCAUGUAGGGGUAAAAUCCGUAGAUAUGCGAAGGAAUACCAGAGGCGAAGGCGCCUUCCUGGACGAUGAUUGACGCUGAGGCGCGAAAGCGUGGGGAGCAAACAGG
rnacentral:rRNA from 1 species